AGGGAAGUCGCGCAGCAUGGAAGCGCGUUUGUUUUGGGUACAAAAUGUCACGGGUUCAACUCCUGUCCUCCCUA
rnacentral:tRNA from 1 species